rnacentral:rRNA from 1 species
UACGGGGGGGGCAAGCGUUGUUCGGAAUUACUGGGCGUAAAGGGCGCGUAGGCGGCCUGCUAAGUCGGAUGUGAAAUCCCUCGGCUCAACCGAGGAACUGCAUCCGAUACUGGCGGGCUUGAAUCCGGGAGAGGGAUGCAGAAUUCCAGGUGUAGCGGUGAAAUGCGUAGAUAUCGAGAGGAACACCUGCGGCGAAGGCGGGUUGCUGGGCUGACACUGACGCUGAGGCGCGAAAGCCAGGGGAGCGAACGGG